rnacentral:piRNA from 1 species
UGCUCAAGUGGAGAAGCUGCCAGUGUG